rnacentral:rRNA from 1 species
UACAGAGACUGCAAGCGUUAUUCGGAUUCACUGGGUUUAAAGGGUGCGUAGGUGGGCAGGUAAGUCAGUGGUGAAAUCUCCGGGCUCAACCUGGAAACUGCCAUUGAUACUAUUAGUCUUGAAUUUUGUUGAGGUAGGCGGAAUAAGUCAUGUAGCGGUGAAAUGCAUAGAUAUCGUGAGGAACACCAGAGGCGAAGGCGGUUACCUGGACAGUUACUGACGCUCAGGCACGAAAGCGUGGGGAGCAAAAGGG